rnacentral:rRNA from 1 species
GACAGAGGUCCCGAGCGUUAGACGGAAUCACUGGGCUUAAAGCGUGUGUAGGCGGAAGGGUAAGUACCUUGUGAGAUCCCACGGCUCAACCGUGGAACUGCUUGGUAUACUGCUUUUCUUGAGCCACUUAGGGGCAACCGGAACAAAUGGUGGAGCGGUGAAAUGCGUAGAUAUCGGGAAGAACACCCGUGGCGAAGGCGGUUCUCUGGGACGGUACUGACGCUGAGACGCGAAAGCGUGGGGAGCGAACAGG